UAUCUCUGUAGAGUCUGCAUAUCAAUAAGCGGAGGAAAAGAAGCUAACUAGGAUUCCCUCAGUAACGGCGAGUGAAGCGGGAAGAGCUCAAAUUUGAAAUCUUCAAGGUUCUACCUUGACGAAUUGUAGUUUAAAGAAGUGUUUUCUGUUGGAGUUUUGGUAAAAGUUCUUUGGAAUAGGACAUCAUAGAGGGUGAGAAUCCCGUAUUUGACCAUUAUUUCCAGCUUUGUGAUACACUUUCAAAGAGUCGGAUUGUUUGGGAAUGCAGUCCAAAAUGGGUGGUAAAUUUCAUCUAAAGCUAAAUACUGGCGAGAGACCGAUAGCGAACAAGUACCGUGAGGGAAAGAUGAAAAGAACUUUGAAAAGAGAGUUAAACAGUACGUGAAAUUGUCAAAAGGGAAGCGUUUGACACCAGUGUUGUUUUCUCGAAAAUCAAUUAAAAAAGGCAGGAUUUUGUGUUGUAUUGACUUUAUCAGCUUUCUGCACUCUUUUCUUGUCUUUCUUAAUGCACUAUUCGUUUAACAAGUCAACAUCAAUUUCUUUUGUUGUAAAGGGUCAUUGGAAGGUGGCUUUCUUUUCGGAGAAAGUGUUUAUAGCCUUUGGCCUCUGCAAUCGGAGAGAUUGAGGUCUGCAGCGUAGAUCCUUCGGGGUUAGAUACAUUUGUGCUAAGUUAUAGCCUUUCAUAGACAACUUGUUGACUAUGAUCAGUCAUGUAGCUUACUCGCUUAUGCUAUUUUACCUACGCUUAGGAUGUUGACGAUCAGCUGAGGCGCG
rnacentral:rRNA from 1 species